rnacentral:rRNA from 1 species
CACGUAGGGUGCAAGCGUUGUCCGGAAUUAUUGGGCGUAAAGGGCUCGUAGGCGGUCCGUCACGUCGGGGAGUGAAAAACUCGGGGGCUCAACCCCCGAGCCUGCUUUCGAUACGGGCGGACUAGAGGUAGGUAGGGGGAGAACGGAAUUCCUGGUGUAGCGGUGAAAUGCGCAGAUAUCAGGAGGAACACCGAUGGCGAAGGCAGGUCUCUGGGCAUUAACUGACGCUGAGGAGCGAAAGCAUGGGGAGCGAACAGG